UUUAAAGAGAUCCACCAUUUUUUUUCAGGUCUCCCGCAGGACAAAGAUAAGUUAACCAAGUAAAUAGACACAAGGCAUCUUAGAUCCCAGACAAAACAUUUAAGCAAACUGACCCAUUUGACUUCCUUGCAGGGUAACUGCCAGGCUUCCCCAGGGGAAGAGGGAUGACACUGAGCAAUCCCUAGGAAGUCAGUAAAACCAAAGUAUGUAAAAGUGUUGAUUUAGAUUAUCAUUAUACAUUUAUAUUAUCAUUUUACAAAGCCUUUUUGUCAGUUCCAUAAGGUGAGAUACAUCAAAACCAAGGUACUUGUGGAUGGAGAGGGUUGAAGAUGUGAAUUAGAGAAAAAAAGAGCCAUAAGAAGAGCAACAAACAAAAUAGAUCAAGAAUAAGGGAACAGAGGUUCAAGUUUCCCAAAGCACCGGGCAUGACCGGACAGACUGAUACCCUUGACGACCGUCAGUAAGAUGCCAGGGAGCUGGACAGGUGGAAGGCACCCGUGUUCUCCUGCCCUGCUCUGCGUAAUCGGGAGGUGUCUCUCAGAAGAUGGCUUCAGCCAGAACUUCAAAGGAGGUCCUCAGGGCUUAUCAAGCAACAGUCUACAAUGGCUGAGUUAUGCAAGAGUGAGUACAGGUGGGAGAGCCUGGACCUCAUACCAGUGAGUCAGCCCAGACGUAGGCGCCUAUCCUGCACAUCCCUCACAGUGACUUUUGACAGAAAUGAAAGCCAAGAGCACAGAAAAACAUCAGUUACGAGGUGCCAGGCCCCUGAGGGCACCCACAGAUCUCACUGUCUCUGCCCAGCCCCUCAGGGCUCCCCGCACCCUGCCCAGGACCCCAAUACGGCCUAGCCCAGGGCUGUCUGCGGGGAAGGUCAGGAUCAAAGGCAUCCUGCUUGAAAAACAGGUCACAACUCAGACGGAGGUAGCUGUGGCAACAACUUCCAAGACUUAAAAUACUUGAAAAUUUUGUAAAACUUUCUGUUUUACCAGUAGUCUUACAGUAUUUUCAGGAGGUGUGUCUUAACAGCAGGUUGAAGGGGAAAUCGCACACACACCAAAAAAAGAAUAAGAACAUUAAAACCACAAAAUAUGGCAAUUUGUAAAAACAAGAUGUAAAACAGGGGCUUCCCUCCACUUCACCCCAGUAUCAAAACAAAUGUGAAAAGCCCACAGUAGCCCCCUGCCUUGGUAGCAGGUGGGACAGGGAGCCUUGGAGGCUGGGUGGCUGCGCCGUCCAGCUGGAGGAUCAAGAAAACCGCUCUAGGCAAGAGGACUGAAGACAGCGAAGGCAGGAUAAAAGCAAAGUUAACAAAAAAAUGUAGUAAAGACUUGGAGAAAAUUUCUUGCAUGCAGAGCAGAGGUAUGGGGAACUUUAAUAUCUGCUCAGCUGGUGAAUGUUGUGGAGGGCAAGCUGGAGCAGCCUGAUUUGACCCAUUCAGUCCUGCUGCCAGUAAUACCUACGUGGUCCUCUCCGUACACCCAAGCCCAGCAGCUAAUACAGGAUGCAGGAAGCCUGCCUGGGCAGAGAAUAGUAUAUAUCACCCAAAGGCGAUAGGCAGAACGGGCAGAAAUUUCUCCUGCGCAAAGAACAAAAGGAACAUUGCAGAAACUGUGCUGAGAACAGCUUGAAGCUUUCAGGCUGAAUUUAUAUGCUUUGUGCUUGAGCUGAAUGGUUCACGUUAAUUUCCACAGAAGCUCUGCAACUGCAUGUGAUUUUUGUUGUUGUUGUGCAGCUAGAACAUUAGUUAUCUCUCAUUUGUAAAGCAGCUACCAUAUCCUGUAAUGACCUUUUACCGUGUGGUUUUCUUAUGUUCAACCACUUGUCCCCAUUACUUUUUUUCUUUUUUUUUUUUUUUUUUCCUGCCAGAGUGCUGAUACCUCAGGCAUCCUUUACUUCUUACUCCCACCUGAGCUCAGUCCUGACAACGCAGUGUGCAGUUACCAGCUGCCUGUCCUGGGACUGUGGAACUGCUGUAUCCUGUUCUCAUUCUGCAGUGUCACAAAGCAAAUACCUCCUGCCUCUGAGAACUACAAAUGUGUGAGACUGAGCGUGAUGCAGGAGGAAAAUAUUCGUGACAGCUGAUGUGCAUGUUAAUGCAAUUGUUUGUUGCAGCGAUUCUCAGACAUCUGUGAGUCUGCACGCAUCUAGAUGUGUGUGAGGUCUACGAGGAAAUCUUCUCUUGUCCUCACAGACAAAUAACAUGUUUUUUCAUAGAAUAAACUGUACUAUAUAUAAAACUUAUUUUAAACUUUUAAGCAGGAAGACUUUAUUUGAUAAGUAUUGAUUUCUAGUAGCUUAUGAUAAGCUAAGUUGAGCGCAGCUUCAGGUGGAUGUGCCAAGGACUUCUGCCCAGGAGCAAAUGAAAUGAAAUGGUAACACUGGAAACCUAGGCAGGGCUGUCCUGCAAUGCCUGAGGAAGUGCGCUGAGCUAGCGUGCAAGUUCUUUGUUGGCAGAGGUUACAGUCAAAUCAAUAUGGUUUUCACCUAGUGUUUUAAGCACACAGAUGCAUUACUAAAUAAAUUGUGUGUUUCAGCCACGUAGUUAUGCUAUGAUGCCCAAACUUUGUACAGCUUGCAGUGAAAGCCCAAAGAAGUAGCAGCGAGUUUUAAAUGUUGCAUUCAUCAGGCAGCUGGGGAAAAAAAAAAGAAAAGAAAAAAAAAACAAAACACCAGACUCCUGACUGCCCUUCAAAUUGGGAAACCCCAGUCAGCACAACAAAACCAGGAGAGACUUCCUCAGGAACAGCCCGCAAUGACAGCCAGGAAACUAGCUUGGUCUUCAUAGGUCACAGCAACCAAGGAGUUUCCCAGAAUCACCACCUUUUGCCUGUUAACAUUUUCCUCAUACCAGUUAGAUCCCCUGGCACAAGGAUAUACAGGAAUAGAUUUCAAGUGAAUUAUACAUUACAGCACUUGUCUUUCUCCCAUAAUGCACAGUAAUGUCUCCAGGAAAUUAUUCACAUCAGAAAUUACGAAUUUACAAAAUAAUCUUUAGAAAGCCGUAGGGACGAAUAUAUACAGCAGGUGUGGUGACUGAGCCCUCAGCAUUUUCAUUUACACAUGCAAGUAUGAAUUUGCAUGUAAGACUAAAAUGACUAAAAAGGCAGACAGCUUCUCAGCCCAAAGAUUAUAUUCUGUGCAUGAAAGUGUUGAGUUGUGAAGGCACAGGAGACCCGCACGUAGUUUGUGGCAAUGGCUGUCAGAGGGAUUUUUGAGAAAAAAAAAAAAAAAA